rnacentral:lncRNA from 1 species
GAAAGAUCUAGAAGGUAAAGGAAUGUGGGGGAUCAUGUGAGGGAAUGAAGAUGUGUCCCAUGAGAGCCCCCAAUGGGAUGUGGGGGUGGGCACACUUGGAGCUCAGCCUCCAGAGAGACCUUAGAGCAGCCUGCAGUUGCCUUUGAAGUGAUGCACUUACCAGAGAGAGUAGGAAGAUCAGAAAUAGCACCAGCAACUGAGGAGGCUGAGGCAGGAGGAUCCCAAGUUCAAGGCCAGUCUCAGCAAUUUAGCGAGACCCUGUCUCAAAAGAAAAAAAAGGGCUGGGCUGUGGCUCAGUGGUAUGCCCUUGCCUUGCAUGUGGAAGGCCCUGGGUUCAGUCCCCAGUACAGGUGCCUCAUAUCAGAGGGACAGUACAGGGUCAGCUGGCAGGACUGAGGAGGAGGCACCCCUGAAGCACUAGCGACUCUGUGCGGAGGGGAGGCAAGAAGGGAACUGUCCAGGAGCAGGCUGUGCCACCUCAGAGGUUGUUCAGAGAUCAGGGCCCUCAGCAGGUCAAGGGCCGGGCAGCCCCCAGGUUGUGAGUGAAACCCCUGGCCACCAGCCCAGGCAAGAGGAGCCAACAGAGGUGGGAGCUGCGGAACGGAUGGCCAGAUGGUCACUUUCAGGGAUUGUUUCUCCGUAUGUCGUGCAAGCACAACUCUGUUUGGACUCAGGCUGCAGUUGCUGGCCUGCCCUUGUCCUGCCAGGCCUCUUGCCUCAGCAUGGUAGAGGGAGACAUUCCAGCUUUGGUUCUAGUUCUGGGGUUUGGCUUUGUGCAGGACCUCUCCAUUCUUCCUUUGAAAUAGCCUUUGGGGAAAUUGCCCUGCAGGGCCCGGAACAGAAUGAGUCCUUUGACCCUGGCUAGCCUCCCUUUUGGCAUUUCCAGAGGCGGUGGCUGUGCCAGGGUUUCCUGCUCCCUCACUGUCGAAACCAACCCGUGAGGCAGAGAUAGGGGUCUUUCUGCCCCUGUCUGCUCUCUGGUGCCUUCACCUGUCAGAGCUGUCAUUGGAACCAGGGAGCUGAGGAGAAGGAUGUGCCAGAUAUGGGGACAGUCUGGGUUUAGGAGGAGGGAAUGUGGGGGGAAGGCAGACGCACCCGAGAGGAAGCCUGACAGGACUGCAGGCAACAGAGCCAUCAGAGCCAGUGGCUCCUGGGACAGAGGCAGCAUCACAGUUGUCAGGGCCUGCAAACUACCAUGUGAGGCUAGGACUGUGGAGAGCAAAGUGGUGGAGUGGGCUGCAGAGGGGCCCAGCCCUUGUGGUGAGCUUGGAGCUGCCUAUACAGCAGAUGGGGAACCAGGAAGUGGGCAGGGUGAGAGAGCUCUCAGAUCAGAAGGUAUGCUGGACACCCAUGGGGUGGCCUUCACUUGGCUGCUGCUUCAUCUUAGGUGCACUUCCAAGAAAGGCUUCACUCUCUGAGCCAUGGUACCUGUGACCAGGCUCCCCCGAAGGCUUUGGCCUCCUCUGAGAACCAAACGAGACUUUGUGCAGGUGCCCAGGACACACGCAGCCUUGGGGGACCACCUGCGGCCACCUCCCUAGUUCUCUCCCACCUCUGCCCUGCCUGGACAGAACCAACUGCAGUGGCUGAAAUAGAGGGCAUUCCUGACCAGCAGGCUUUUCUGCCUCUCCUGACACUUGCUUCUGCCUCAGCAAACAGGAGCAGAAACUCCAGGAAUGGGGGCCUCCUCACCCAGGCCAUGAGGAGCAUGGCCUGCAGCAUGGCUAUUCUGAGUGGUCUCACACCUGUCACUCUGGAGUAGUCCCAGCCCCACAUCACCUGUCCCAGGGAAUGAGGCAUCAAGGCCUUGUCCAGAUUUGCCUCAUAUCAGAGGGACAGAACCUAGAGAUCAGACUCACAGCUGGGUCACAGAGAUGCUCUGGGCUUUUCUUUGCCGACCUCAGACCCACGUUCGCCCACUGACAGCUGGAGAAGCUAACAGAAUACACAGAACCACUCUGAAGUCCUCAGAGAUGUACUAAGUGGUGAGGUCUGGAGACUGCUCCUUCUCAAGCAGUCCCCAGGGCUGAGAAGCUAAGCAGACCCUUGGAGCUUCCUCUAGUUAACAUCCAACGAGUCCCUGCUUUUUCCUUGACUCCUCAAGGGCCUCAGAAAGAGGAGGAGGGUGAGCCAUGAGCAGGCUGCCCUCAGCAUGAGCCCAGCCCCAGUCAGCUGGGCCCCACCCUCCUCAAGGAGAUGCCCUCCUAACACCUGCCAGAAACUAAAGUAAGCCCAGAGCUCAGAUUGCCAUGAUGGCUUUUCAUGAACAACAACCAGAAUUUCAGUCUAAAAUACCAGAGUUGAUCAGAAACAGAAACAGAUCUACCUUUUGGGAUUACCCGAAAGUUACUUUAAUAAAUAUCCAAUGUGAAAGAUACUAAAUGGAAAUUUUUUUAUCUUUAUUUAUCUAUUCAUUUUUUUUAUAUGGUGCUGAGGAUCGAACCCAGCACCUCGAAUAUGCUAGGCAAGCGCUCUACCACUGAGCCCCAGCCCCCUAAAUGGAAAUUUAAAAGAUUCAAAUGUGUUUUCUAGAGCUGAAAAACAAAAACCAGGAACACAAUAGAUGGUGCUAAGGUGUAAAUGUGUGUCCCCUUGUUGAGAUGGGCAAAGUUGCCACUUAUGCAGUCGAGAGGGAGAAAUAAAGAAUGUCCAUGUGCUUCUGCCCUUUUCAAUGUUUUGUUCACUCAAAUCACUCAAUACAAUUUCACUCUAUAGGUUUUUAAUCAAGAAAAUGAUGGUCCUUGAUGCUGGGCACUGCAAUAUUCAUAAUCACUUAACAACAAAUAAUUCUAAGUUAACUCUAAGCACUGCAAACACACCUAAUCAUGACCUAGUUAUUACAGACAUUCCCUCUGCAUGCUAAACUCAAGUGCCAGGUCUAGAGUCUCACGUCUUAGGCUUUUAAGUCCAGCAGAUGCAGUCACUCAGACCGCAGUGAUCAGAUCAGGAACCGAUGGAGGCUCCUGGUGUGGAGUUGGUGGCCAGUUGAGGGGAGCGUAAUAGGGAGAUGUCACCAUUCUCACCAGAGCAAAAAGCUAUAGAGUUUGAGAGAGGUGAGGAAGAUGCAGGGGAUCAGGCAAACGAUGAGAAGAGUGGGGAUGUUAGCCCAGGUCCUCAUCAGGCUUUCCGGCAUGUGGGCAUCAGUGUCAGCUGGCUGAAUGUUCAUUUGCUCCAUCAUUUAUACUAAAUUUUGGGGCUCCUUUCGGUCCCUGUCAGCUGUUACCAAGUUUCUUAGUGACAUCUUACAUUUUAGAGUCAGGACAUAUGGUUUGGUGAUUUUCCACCCUGAUCUUCUUAUACCUCUGACUCUUAUCAAGGUGAAGGCAAAUGAUAUGUGACUUCACCCUGACUCUUACCAGGGUUGUGGAAAGUGACUUGUCUUUAUCAGGCUAUGCCUAAUUGACAUAUCGGAGGGAUCUGUAGGCUGUGCCUGGUGGGAUUGCAGGUCUGUUUUAAAAUAUAGUUGCUUAGGCUAAGGCCAUACUUACAGUCAGGCUAAGGCCACCCUUACACCCCCC